rnacentral:ncRNA from 1 species
CCAAACGUUCGUAGUGAUAUGAAACGGAAGGUAGAGAAGUCAGCAGACGUCAUAGUAGCAACGCAAGUUGCGAAGGAC